AGAGUUUGAUCCUGGCUCAGGAUGAACGCUGGCGGCGUGCUUAACACAUGCAAGUCGAACGGGAAACCUUUUAUUGAAGCUUCGGCAGAUUUAGAUUGUUUCUAGUGGCGGACGGGUGAGUAACGCGUGGGUAACCUGCCUUAUACAGGGGGAUAACAGUCAGAAAUGACUGCUAAUACCGCAUAAGCGCACAGAGCUGCAUGGCUCAGCGUGAAAAACUCCGGUGGUAUAAGAUGGACCCGCGUUGGAUUAGCUGGUUGGUGAGGUAACGGCCCACCAAGGCGACGAUCCAUAGCCGGCCUGAGAGGGUGAACGGCCACAUUGGGACUGAGACACGGCCCAGACCCCUACGGGAGGCAGCAGUGGGGAAUAUUGCACAAUGGAGGAAACUCUGAUACAGCGACGCCGCGUGAAGGAUGAAGUAUUUCGGUAUGUAAACUUCUAUCAGCAGGGAAGAAAAUGACGGUACCUGACUAAGAAGCCCCGGCUAACUACGUGCCAGCAGCCGCGGUAAUACGUAGGGGGCAAGCGUUAUCCGGAUUUACUGGGUGUAAAGGGAGCGUAGACGGCACGGCAAGCCAGAUGUGAAAGCCCGGGGCUCAACCCCGGGACUGCAUUUGGAACUGCUGAGCUAGAGUGUCGGAGAGGCAAGUGGAAUUCCUAGUGUAGCGGUGAAAUGCGUAGAUAUUAGGAGGAACACCAGUGGCGAAGGCGGCUUGCUGGACGAUGACUGACGUUGAGGCUCGAAAGCGUGGGGAGCAAACAGGAUUAGAUACCCUGGUAGUCCACGCCGUAAACGAUGACUGCUAGGUGUCGGGGGCAAAGCCGUUCGGGGCCGCAGCUAACGCAAUAAGCAGUCCACCUGGGGAGUAACGUUCGCAAGAAGAAAACUCAAAGGAAUUGACGGGGACCCGCCCAAGCGGUGGAGCAUGUGGUUUAAUUCGAAGCAACGCGGAGAACCUUACCUGAUCUUGACAUCCCGAUGACCGCUUCGUAAUGGAAGCUUUUCUUCGGAACAUCGGUGACAGGUGGUGCAUGGUUGUCGUCGGCUCGUGUCGUGAGAUGUUGGGUUAAGUCCCGCAACGAGCGCAACCCCUAUCUUCAGUAGCCAGCAGGUUAAGCUGGGCACUCUGGAGAGACUGCCAGGGAUAACCUGGAGGAAGGUGGGGAUGACGUCAAAUCAUCAUGCCCCUUAUGACCAGGGCUACACACGUGCUACAAUGGCGUAAACAAAGAGAAGCGAACUCGCGAGGGUAAGCAAAUCUCAAAAAUAACGUCUCAGUUCGGACAAGUAGUCUGCAACCCGACUACACGAAGCUGGAAUCGCUAGUAAUCGCAGAUCAGAAUGCUGCGGUGAAUACG
rnacentral:rRNA from 1 species